rnacentral:hammerhead_ribozyme from 1 species
GCACUGCUAACGAGUCCCAAACAGGACGAAACAGACGUCCAGUGC